rnacentral:rRNA from 1 species
AGGGAAUAUUGGACAAUGGGGGCAACCCUGAUCCAGCCAUGCCGCGUGAGUGAAGAAGGCCCUCGGGUUGUAAAGCUCUUUUGUCCGGAAAGAAAAGCAUUCGGUGAAUACCCGGAUGUUCUGACGGUACCGGAAGAAUAAGCACCGGCUAACUACGUGCCAGCAGCCGCGGUAAUACGUAGGCAGCAAGCGUUGUUCGGAGUUACUGGGCGUAAAGAGUGCGUAGGCGGUUUUCUAAGUUCGGUGUGAAAUCUCCCGGCUUAACUGGGAGGGUGCGCCGAAGACUGGGAAGCUGGAGUGUGGGAAAGGCAGGCGGAAUUCCUGGUGUAGCGGUGAAAUGCGUAGAUAUCAGGAGGAACACCGGCGGUGUAGACGGCUUGCUAGACCAUAACUGACGCUGAGGCACGAAAGCGUGGGUAGCAAACA